ACCAAACCAGAAAUAGGGCUUUCUGAUUCUAUCAACAUUUUGAGUAACCCAAUUAGGAAUCAAGAAGAAAGUGCAAUGGUAGGUUAGUAAUACAGAACUAACCAAGUUAAUCUUCCAAUCUCUGUACUUUAGGCAUCAGGCCUCAAAAGGAGGUCAAGGUACUUCACAAGGAAGUUAAAUCUAUUACAGUCUAAGAUUGAAGAAAGAUACCAUGAUUAUCUCUAUUACCAAAAACAAACCAGACCUAACUUAAGACAAAUGAUCUUCAGGCCAGAAAUCCAUUCAAAGAGAAAUAAUUUGCAUUUCGAAUUACAGGACAGAACUAUAUUAGCUUCCUGAAAAAUGAGUGUAUGAUCAGCAUACUACAAAGAGGCAACCUUCAAAUCAACACUGGAGUCAAGUUCUGCUAUAAGACCAUUGUACAGAACCAACUUCAGCAUUCUGUCAAGAGCAUCAAUCACCAGAAGAAAUAACAGAGAGCAGAGAGGACCCCUUGGUGCAAAUCCUUCUUAAUUUCUAUCCACUUACCAGUCUCACCAUUAACCAAAAUAAUAGCUGCUUUAGCAUGGCAAAUGCAUUCUUUCACCUAUUCAAUCCAUCUCUGAACAAAACCCUUGACUUCUAGCAACUUAAAUAGAAUGUUCCAAUUCACCAUGUCAUAAGAUUUUCCAAAGUUCAGUUUAAGUAGAAAACACAACCUUAUGAUCCUAAGAAACAAUUUCCUGAGCCAAAACAAAGCUA
rnacentral:lncRNA from 1 species